rnacentral:lncRNA from 1 species
UAAGAGAGUAAUAGUUAACUUGGUACCAUUGCUACACUCUGGUUUACCUUAAUUGUUUUUGUGAUCAGAGAAAAGUUUUAAAGAUAAUGGGGGUUGAGUGCUUCUCAUUCUUAUUUUGUGAUGUUAAACCACUGUCCUAAGUUAUAUAGGGGGCAGUUAAGUACAAAUAAACUUAUUUUAGAGUAUGCUGGUCAUACAAACAUAACAAACAAAACUUCAUUCUCAAUUACUUGUGUGUUGUCUACCUUGACUUCAUUCUCAAUUACUUGUGUAUUAUCUCCCUUGACUUCAUUAUCAAUUACUUGUGUGUUGCUUCCCUUGACUUCAUUAUCAAUUACUUGUGUAUUAUCUCCCUUGACUUCAUUAUCAAUUACUUGUGUGUUGUCUCCCUUGACUUCAUUAUCAAUUACUUGUGUUUUGUCUCCCUUGACUUCAUUAUCAAUUACUUGUGUAUUAUCUCCCUUGUUUUAUUUUAUUAAAAUGACAUACACCUACAUUAAAUGUAAAGGUAUGAUUUCAUAUAAUUUAUUAUAAUUAUAAUGAGGGAAGAUAUUCUGCUGAAUUCUGGUUCUGCUAUGAGGAGGAGAAAUAAAUUAUUUAAAUACUCG